ensembl:snRNA U6 U6 spliceosomal RNA
GUGCUCACUUCGGCAGCACAUACACUAAAAUGGGAACAAUAUAGAGAAGAUGAACGUGGCCCCUGCACAAGGAUGACACGCGAAGUUGUGAAGCGUUCCAUAUUUCA